rnacentral:rRNA from 1 species
CUAAUACAUGCAAGUCGAACGCACAGCGAAAGGUGCUUGCACCUUUCAAGUGAGUGGCGAACGGGUGAGUAACACGUGGACAACCUGCCUCAAGGUUGGGGAUAACAUUUGGAAACAGAUGCUAAUACCGAAUAAAACUUAGUGUCGCAUGACACAAAGUUAAAAGGCGCUUGGGCGUCACCUAGAGAUGGAUCCGCGGUGCAUUAGUUAGUUGGUGGGGUAAAGGCCUACCAAGACAAUGAUGCAUAGCCGAGUUGAGAGACUGAUCGGCCACAUUGGGACUGAGACACGGCCCAAACUCCUACGGGAGGCUGCAGUAGGGAAUCUUCCACAAUGGGCGAAAGCCUGAUGGAGCAACGCCGCGUGUGUGAUGAAGGCUUUCGGGUCGUAAAGCACUGUUGUAUGGGAAGAACAGCUAGAAUAGGAAAUGAUUUUAGUUUGACGGUACCAUACCAGAAAGGGACGGCUAAAUACGUGCCAGCAGCCGCGGUAAUACGUAUGUCCCGAGCGUUAUCCGGAUUUAUUGGGCGUAAAGCGAGCGCAGACGGUUUAUUAAGUCUGAUGGAAAGCCCGGAGCUCAACUCCGGAAUGGCAUGGAAACUGGUAACUG